rnacentral:rRNA from 1 species
GAUGAACGCUAGCUACAGGCUUAACACAUGCAAGUCGAGGGGCAGCAUUGGAGUAGCAAUACUUCAGAUGGCGACCGGCGCACGGGUGAGUAACACGUAUCCAACCUGCCGCUUACUCGGGGAUAGCCUUUCGAAAGAAAGAUUAAUACCCGAUGGUAUAAAGAGUUCGCAUGUUCUCUUUAUUAAAGAAUUUCGGUAAGCGAUGGGGAUGCGUUCCAUUAGAUAGUUGGCGGGGUAACGGCCCACCAAGUCUACGAUGGAUAGGGGUUCUGAGAGGAAGGUCCCCCACAUUGGAACUGAGACACGGUCCAAACUCCUACGGGAGGCAGCAGUGAGGAAUAUUGGUCAAUGGACGCGAGUCUGAACCAGCCAAGUAGCGUGAAGGAUGACUGCCCUAUGGGUUGUAAACUUCUUUUAUAAGGGAAUAAAGUGAGGGACGUGUCCCUUUUUGUAUGUACCUUAUGAAUAAGGAUCGGCUAACUCCGUGCCAGCAGCCGCGGUAAAAC